UCAGGCCUAACACAUGCAAGUCGAGGGGUAGGGCAGCAAUGCCCGAGACCGGCGCACGGGUGCGUAACGCGUAUGCAAUCUACCUUCAACAGGGGGAUAGCCCAGAGAAAUUUGGAUUAAUACCCCAUAGUAUAUUUGAGUGGCAUCACUUGAUUAUUAAAGUUCCAACGGUUGAAGAUGAGCAUGCGUCCUAUUAGCUUGUUGGUAAGGUAACGGCUUACCAAGGCUACGAUAGGUAGGGGUCCUGAGAGGGAGAUCCCCCACACUGGUACUGAGACACGGACCAGACUCCUACGGGAGGCAGCAGUGAGGAAUAUUGGACAAUGGGCGCAAGCCUGAUCCAGCCAUGCCGCGUGCAGGAAGAAGCAUCUAUGGUGUUAAAGUGCUUUUGUACGGGAAGAAACACCUCUACGGUAGGGGCUGAC
rnacentral:rRNA from 1 species